UACGGGGGGAGCAAGCGUUGUUCGGAUUUACUGGGCGUAAAGGGCGCGUAGGCGGCCACCGCAAGUCAAUUGUGAAAUCUCCGGGCUUAACUCGGAAAGGUCAACUGAUACUGCGGGGCUAGAGUGCGGAAGGGGCAACUGGAAUUCUCGGUGUAGCGGUGAAAUGCGUAGAUAUCGAGAGGAACACCUGCGGCGAAGGCGGGUUGCUGGGCCGGACACUGACGCUGAUGCGCGAAAGCAUGGGGAGCGAACAGG
rnacentral:rRNA from 1 species